rnacentral:rRNA from 1 species
AGUGAACGCUGGCGGUAGGCCUAACACAUGCAAGUCGAACGGCAGCACAGUAAGAGCUUGCUCUUACGGGUGGCGAGUGGCGGACGGGUGAGGAAUACAUCGGAAUCUACUUUUUCGUGGGGGAUAACGUAGGGAAACUUACGCUAAUACCGCAUACGACCUACGGGUGAAAGCAGGGGAUCUUCGUACCUUGCGCGAUUGAAUGAGCCGAUGUCGGAUUAGCUAGUUGGCGGGGUAAAGGCCCACCAAGGCGACGAUCCGUAGCUGGUCUGAGAGGAUGAUCAGCUACACUGGAACUGAGACACGGUCCAGACUCCUACGGGAGGCAGCAGUAGGGAAUAUUGGACAAUGGGCGCAAGCCUGAUCCAGCCAUACCGCGUGGGUGAAGAAGGCCUUCGGGUUGUAAAGCCCUUUUGUUGGGAAAGAAAAGCAGCAGGUUAAUACCCCGCUGUUCUGACGGUACCCAAAGAAUAAGCACCGGCUAACUUCGUG